rnacentral:tRNA from 1 species
GGGAAUAGCUCAGUUGGUAGAGCACGACCUUGCCAAGGUCGGGGUCGCGAGUUCGAGUCUCGUUUCCCGCU